rnacentral:misc_RNA from 1 species
UCCCCGUUGGCCGGGGCAGUCUCGCCUGAAAAAUUCAACAGGCAAUAAGGGUUGCGCUCGUUGCGGGACUUAACCCAACAUCUCACGACACGAGCUGACGACGGCCAUGCAACACCUGUCACCGCGUUCCCGAAGGCACUCCCCAGUUUCUUGGGGAUUCGCGGGAUGUCAAGCCUCGGUAAGGUUCUACGCGUAGCUUCGUAUUAAACCACAUGCUCCACCGCUUGUGCGGGCCCCCGCCUAUUCCUUUGAGUUUUAAGCUUGCGCUCGUACUCCCCAGGCGGCAAACUUAACGCGUUAGCUUCUCAGCGCAAAGGGUCGAUACUUCACACUAAUAGUUUGCAUCGUUUACGGCGUGGACUAC